UUGCUCACUUCGGCAGCACAUAUACUAAAAUUGAAACGAUACAGAGAAGGUUAGCAUGGCCCCUGUGCCAGGAUGACACGCAAAUUCGUGAAACAUUCCAUAUUUUU
rnacentral:snRNA from 1 species